rnacentral:rRNA from 1 species
AUACGAAUGGUGCUAGCGUUGUUCGGAAUCACUGGGCAUAAAGGGCACGUAGGCGGUUUGGUCAGUCAGCUGUGAAAUCCCCCGGCUCAACCGAGGAACUGCAGCUGAUACUGCCAAACUGGAGUGCGCGAGGGGAGAGCGGAAUUCCUGGUGGAGCGGUGAUAUGCGUAGAUAUCAGGAGGAACGCCGGAGGCGAAAGCGGCUCUCUGGUGCGCAACUGACGCUGAGGUGCGAAAGCUAGGGGAGCGAACAGGAUUAGAAACCCCAGUAGUCC